GGAAACGUUCUCAAAACUGUCCUGAAAGCAAGUAAUGCUUUCGGUCGUUGUCACCUUUCGUGAAGAAUAAGCAGCAACUUCGUUUUCUGACUUCAUUCUCCUGGUGACACUUUUCACACAGGCUCUGACAGAGACAGCAAUUAUAAAGACAUCCGGGUUGGCAUUCAAGGAUUCUUGAAGUUAACAAAUUGUCCAGGGAUAAAUGACAAUGAAGUUGGUAGACUACACAUUCCUUCAUGAAAAUGCAGGCAAGAGGGGCUGAGAGGAUCAAACCGUGUGAGAAGGCGGCACGAUACACAUGCUCAUGGCCUGGUGUGCUGGCGACCCAGAGAGUACUUCUGAAUGUGGCAGGAAAUGAGAUCUCAAGUCAGUGCAUAAAACAAUCAAAUCCAUCACAGCCUUGGAAUGGCCCCUCAUAACUCAGAGACUGUCACAGUCCUUUGUGAGCACCGAGGCAGUC
rnacentral:lncRNA from 1 species